UACGUAGGCAGCGAGCGUUGUUCGGAGUUACUGGGCGUAAAGGGUGUGUAGGCGGCCUAUUAAGUUUGGUGUGAAAUCUCCCGGCUCAACCGGGAGGGUGCGCCGAAUACUGAACGGCUAGAGUGCGGGAGAGGAGAGUGGAAUUCCUGGUGUAGCGGUGAAAUGCGUAGAUAUCAGGAGGAACACCGGUGGUGUAGACGGCUCUCUGGACCGUAACUGACGCUGAGGCACGAAAGCGUGGGUAGCAAACAGG
rnacentral:rRNA from 1 species